rnacentral:sRNA from 2 species
UCUGUCAACGGUACCGGACCGAAGGGAGGAUAAGGAGUUGAUAGACUCACUUCA